CCCCUCUCGGGGUCACACCUAGAGAGUUUCCAGGACCCUACCAGUCUUGACUACGGGAGGGAGAGUCAAGCAGAGGCAGAGCCAUUCCAUUCCUAGCUUGGGCGGUGGCUAGCGAGUGGAAGGUCAUCUGCUACAAGU